GGGCAGUUAGUUCAGCUCGGUUAGAACGCCCCGUUCACAUCGGGGAGCUCAUAGGUUCAAAUCCUAUACUGCCCA
rnacentral:tRNA from 1 species